rnacentral:rRNA from 1 species
ACGAUAACGGCGUCGAGCGGCGGACGGGUGAGUAAUGCCUAGGAAAUUGCCCUGAUGUGGGGGAUAACCAUUGGAAACGAUGGCUAAUACCGCAUGAUGCCUACGGGCCAAAGAGGGGGACCUUCGGGCCUCUCGCGUCAGGAUAUGCCUAGGUGGGAUUAGCUAGUUGGUGAGGUAAGGGCUCACCAAGGCGACGAUCCCUAGCUGGUCUGAGAGGAUGAUCAGCCACACUGGAACUGAGACACGGUCCAGACUCCUACGGGAGGCAGCAGUGGGGAAUAUUGCACAAUGGGCGCAAGCCUGAUGCAGCCAUGCCGCGUGUGUGAAGAAGGCCUUCGGGUUGUAAAGCACUUUCAGUCGUGAGGAAGGUAGUGUAGUUAAUAGCUGCAUUAUUUGACGUUAGCGACAGAAGAAGCACCGGCUAACUCCGUGCCAGCAGCCGCGGUAAUACGGAGGGUGCGAGCGUUAAUCGGAAUUACUGGGCGUAAAGCGCAUGCAGGUGGUUUGUUAAGUCAGAUGUGAAAGCCCGGGGCUCAACCUCGGAAUAGCAUUUGAAACUGGCAGACUAGAGUACUGUAGAGGGGGGUAGAAUUUCAGGUGUAGCGGUGAAAUGCGUAGAGAUCUGAAGGAAUACCGGUGGCGAAGGCGGCCCCCUGGACAGAUACUGACACUCAGAUGCGAAAGCGUGGGGAGCAAACAGGAUUAGAUACCCUGGUAGUCCACGCCGUAAACGAUGUCUACUUGGAGGUUGUGGCCUUGAGCCGUGGCUUUCGGAGCUAACGCGUUAAGUAGACCGCCUGGGGAGUACGGUCGCAAGAUUAAAACUCAAAUGAAUUGACGGGGGCCCGCACAAGCGGUGGAGCAUGUGGUUUAAUUCGAUGCAACGCGAAGAACCUUACCUACUCUUGACAUCCAGAGAACUUUCCAGAGAUGGAUUGGUGCCUUCGGGAACUCUGAGACAGGUGCUGCAUGGCUGUCGUCAGCUCGUGUUGUGAAAUGUUGGGUUAAGUCCCGCAACGAGCGCAACCCUUAUCCUUGUUUGCCAGCGAGUAAUGUCGGGAACUCCAGGGAGACUGCCGGUGAUAAACCGGAGGAAGGUGGGGACGACGUCAAGUCAUCAUGGCCCUUACGAGUAGGGCUACACACGUGCUACAAUGGCGCAUACAGAGGGCGGCCAACUUGCGAAAGUGAGCGAAUCCCAAAAAGUGCGUCGUAGUCCGGAUUGGAGUCUGCAACUCGACUCCAUGAAGUCGGAAUCGCUAGUAAUCGUGGAUCAGAAUGCCACGGUGAAUACGUUCCCGGGCCUUGUACACACCGCCCGUCACACCAUGGGAGUGGGCUGCAAAAGAAGUAGGUAGUUUAACCUUCGGGGGGACGCUUACCACUUUGUGGUUCAUGACUGGGGUGAAGUCGUAACAAGGUAGCGCUAGGGGAACCUGGCGCUGGAUCACCUCCUUA